AACGUACGCUGGCGGCACGCCUAACACAUGCAAGUCGAACGAAGUAGCAAUACUUAGUGGCAGACGGGUGAGUAACAUGUAGGUAUCUGCCCUUUGGCCUGGAAUAACACGAGGAAACUUGUGCUAAUACCGGAUAAGUCUUUACGGAGAAAGCUUUAUGCACCAUUGGAUGAGCCUGCACUUGAUUAGUUUGUUGGUGGGGUAAUGGCCUACCAAGACUGUGAUCAAUAGCUGAUUUGAGAGGAUGAUCAGCCACAUUGGGACUGAGACACGGCCCGAACUCCUACGGGAGGCAGCAGUGGGGAAUCUUGCACAAUGGAGGAAACUCUGAUGCAGCGAUGCCGCGUGAGUGAAGAAGGCCCUUGGGUUGUAAAGCUCUUUCGUCGGGGAAGAAAAUGACUGUACCCGAAUAAGAAGGUCCGGCUAACUUCGUGCCAGCAGCCGCGGUAAUACGAAGGGACCUAGCGUAGUUCGGGAUUACUGGGCUUAAAGAGUUCGUAGGUGGUUGAAAAAGUUAGUGGUGAAAUCCCAGAGCUUAACUCUGGAACUGCCAUUAAAACUUUUCAGCUAGAGUAUGAUAGAGGAAAGCAGAAUUUCUAGUGUAGAGGUGAAAUUCGUAGAUAUUAGAAAGAAUACCAAUUGCGAAGGCAGCUUUCUGGAUCAUUACUGACACUGAGGAACGAAAGCAUGGGUAGCGAAGAGGAUUAGAUACCCUCGUAGUCCAUGCCGUAAACGAUGUGUGUUAGAUGCUGGAAAUUUAUUUUCAGUGUCGCAGGGAAACCGAUAAACACACCGCCUGGGGAGUACGACCGCAAGGUUAAAACUCAAAUGAAUUGACGGGGACCCGCACAAGUAGUGGAGCAUGUGGUUUAAUUCGAAGAUACGCGCAGAACCUUACCAACACUUGACAUGUUCGUCGCGACUCUAAGAGAUUAGAGUUUUCGGUUCGGCCGGACGAAACACAGGUGCUGCAUGGCUGUCGUCAGCUCGUGUCGUGAGAUGUUGGGUUAAGUCCCGCAACGAGCGCAACCCUCACUUUUAGUUGCCAUCAUUAAGUUGGGCACUCUGAAAGAACUGCCAGUGAUAAGCUGGAGGAAGGUGGGGAUGACGUCAAGUCCUCAUGGCCCUUACGUGUUGGGCUACACACGUGCUACAAUGGUAUCUACAACAGGAAGCAAGACUGCGAAGUUAAGCAAAUCCCUAAAAGAUACCUCAGUUCGGAUUGCACUCUGCAACUCGAGUGCAUGAAGCUGGAAUUACUAGUAAUCGUGGAUCAGCGUGCCACGGUGAAUGCGUUCCCGGGUCU
rnacentral:rRNA from 1 species